rnacentral:tRNA from 1 species
GCGGGUAUAGUACAAUGGCUAGUACGUCGGCCUUCCAAGCCGAACAUACGGGUUCGAUUCCCGUUACCCGCUCCA